CUGCCAUGCGGCAGCGAGGCCGCCGUCCCGCGAGAGCUCAGCAAGGAACUGGCGAAGGGAGGCCUCCUCGUGCUGUGUACAGGAACUGGUCGGAGAGGCCAAGGAGAUCAGCAGCACAAGAGCAAGACCAAGGGAAGGAAAGAAAAGCAGGGCAUAAGAGAAAGAAACAGUAGGUGAAGAAGAUUUUGCGAAGAUUCUACCGGGCGAGACAAUGCGCCGGGAAGAUCGUACCGAAAGGCGCCUGCGAUUGAGAGCAAUCAUCAUGGUGUGUAGACAAAGGCCAAGUGGAGGGCAGGAAGAAAGUGCAGUUUCCUGGCUUCCUGGCUUAAUGGACGGGGUGGGUGGUCGAUCCGUGCGGUCUCCUCCAUCCCCUUCUUGACCCGGGGGCGUUUACUUGCCCUUGUCACGCGUGCGUGCGUGCGAGCUUCGUCUGAUGUUUACGUUUGCUCUUCUUUUGCCAUUCUCCUGGCUCCACUGGCGCACUAUAAUUGCGGACCGUGGACGGUGACGCUUUGUGGCUGUCAUCUGAAGUUUGAACCGUAACUUGGGGUGCUGGCAAUGGUGAUGCUAAGUACAGUUUUCUACUCCUAUUACUGUUGUUUUGGAAUGUUAAUUAGUUUACUUGAAUACAAAGGUGGUGUUGAUUAGUUUACUUGGAUAGGUCGACAGCUCCAAUUAUAUGGAUAAACCCUUUUUAAGAACUAUAUUAAGCGAAA